CCCCCCCCCCCCCCCCCCCCCCCCCCCCCCCCCCCCCCCCCCCCCCCCCCCCCCCCCCCCCCCCCCCCCCCGCUGCCGGUGCCGGUUCGGGCCCGCGCCCGGCCGAGCCCGAAGCGCCCCCGCUCCGCCGCUGCGCCCCGCUCACCGCGGGCAGCCCCGAAACUUGGCGCUCCCCGCGCUUCCACUUUGGCGAUCGUGCCGCCUCCCUGCGCUCCUGCCGCCGCUGCCCGGCCGAGCCUGGCCGGAGCCUGUGCGCUCACCGCGGCCCCGCGCACAUGUCCCGGGCGGAUCUCGCUGUCGCCUCCUCUCCUCCUGCCCCUCGCAGCUCCUCACUUUCUCGCCGAGAGGUGGGGAUCGGUUUAUCCGAGCGCGGAGUAGAGGAGGAGGAGGAGGGGGAGGAAAUAUCUAAGCCAUUGGAGAGGGGGGCCUGGGGGAUCGCCCCCUGCUCGCCGCCCUCUGCUCUGUGCCGAGCCGCGCUGUGCUGUGUGUUUGCUGUGCCGUUCCGAGCCGCGCUGUGCUGUGUGUUUGCUGUGCCGUUCCGAGCCGAGCUGUGCUGUGAUGUGCCGAGCUGUGCUGUGCCGUUCCGAGCCGCGCUGUGCCGCGCUGCGAGCUCUGCCCGUGCCGCUCCGCGCCCCCGCCUCGGCUCCUGCGGCAGCUGCGGCUCUGGGGGCCGGCUGGAUCCCGCGGUCAAAUAAAGUAAAACACAAAAAAAGCUAAACCCAAGAAGAAGAAGGAAAAAAAAAAAAACCUGUGCAGGAUCCGCCUCGCAUACGACAUCCACUUUGCAUGAGAAAGGUGAAGCUGACACGGUGAUUACUUUCCAAUCACUCGGAACGCCUCGAAACCUCCUUAAGGACCCCUACAGGUUCUCCUUGAUCGGCACAGAUUAGAGAAAGCCCCAUUUGUUUCUCUCUUUCCUUCCUUUCUGCUUUCCCUCGCGUUGCCCUCUCUGGAAAGUUUACCAAGAUCUUUUCAGUGGGAGGCGCCCCUGCCCUCCCCUGCCCAGGUAGGGAGCCGGGCAGAGCGAGCGCUCCUGUCUCCUCAUCAGAGGGCUGAAGGUGGUGCCUCCUUGACUGCCUCUAUUGGAGGGGGGGCGAAGCUUUAGCCGGGAGGAUGUGGGGAGGAGGAUGCAUUUUAUGGCGAGUGCUAUAAACUCUUCGCUGCCAGGGUCAUAAAAUAUGGUUCCUUUCAGCCUGGAGUCUCAGCUUUUUUCAAAUGUCGCGCUUUGUCUCGAAUUCCUAAAUGAACAGGACAGGCAGGAUUGCUGGUAAAGUACCUGAUUAUGGUUUUAAUCACAGUAUGGCAUCACUCGAAAAGCAGCUCUUUUCCCCCCCCCCCCCCCCCCCCCCCCCCCCCCCCCCCCCCCCCCCCCCCCC
rnacentral:lncRNA from 12 species